AUUUUAUUUUGUCAUUUAUCAAGCUUAACCAAAAAAUCAGCAUACUAUGGAAGCCUAUGUGCACCCCUCCCUUUCUACAAAAUCAGGAACAAAUUGUAGCCCAAGAAGCAAAGAACCAGCCUGACCCAAACACCAACUCCAAAGCAAUGGCGGGCGCCAUGAGUUCUGUAGAUUUAACGGGACAGAAUCCCUAAAUCUUCCAUUUUUACCUUCUUCAACCUCUCAAAACCCAUUUUCUCCUCCUUCCAACUCCAUCAAAGUCCACGAAAAAUCCGAACUUUAUCAUUCCAACUCAAAACCAUUAUCAUUCCUAAACUUCACCCAUAAAUUUCCUCCACCAAAAACCCACCUUCACUUCCUUACCAUAAAAACCCAUUUUUC
rnacentral:lncRNA from 1 species